rnacentral:rRNA from 1 species
CCUACGGGCGGCUGCAGUCGGGAAUAUUGCGCAAUGGAGGAAACUCUGACGCAGUGACGCCGCGUAUAGGAAGAAGUUUUUCGGAAUGUAAACCAUCGUCGAUAGGGAAGAGAAUGGACAGUAUCUAAGGAGGAAACUCCGGCUAACUACGUGCCAGCAGCCGCGGUAAUAUGUUGGGAGCGAGCGUUAGCCGGAAUUAUUGGGUGUAAAGGGUGCGUAGACGGGAACACAAGUUAGUUGUGAAAUCCCUCGGCUUAACUGAGGAACUGCAACUAAAACUAUUUUUCUUGAGUGCAGGAGGGGUAAGUGGAAUUCCUAGUGUAGCGGUGAAAUGCGUAGAUAUUAGGAGGAACACCAGUGGCGAAGGCGACUUACUGGACUGUAACUGACGUUGAGGCACGAAAGUGUGGGGAGCAAACAGGAUUAGAUACCCCUGUAGUC